UUGGGCACUCUAAUGAGACUGCCGGUGACAAACCGGAGGGAAGUGGGGAUGACGUCAAGUCCUCAUGGCCCUUAUGGGUAGGGCUUCACACGUCAUACAAUGGUCGGUACAGAGGGUUGCCAAGCCGCGAGGUGGAGCCAAUCCCUUAAAGCCGAUCGUAGUCCGGAUCGUAGUCUGCAACUCGACUACGUGAAGUCGGAAUCGCUAGUAAUCGCAGAUCAGCAUGCUGCGGUGAAUACCGUUCCCGGGCCUU
rnacentral:rRNA from 1 species